CGGUCUCCUAAGGGGCGGUUAAUCUUUGUUAACCUGAGAGGUACCCUUUGAACCUGAUCCGGAUUAUACCGGCGUAGGAAUAGGAUGCGUUUUACCG
rnacentral:ncRNA from 2 species